rnacentral:misc_RNA from 1 species
AGUACAUUUAUCUUAAACAUUGCAAAGUAUGUUUAACAUAAAACCGUUUAACUUAAAAAGUUUUUUUACCUAUUUUUAUUUUCUAGUUUUUAGUUUUUAUUUCGCAUUCUGUUUAAUUCAUUUAGUGCUUCAUUAUUGCAAGGCCCAUCUUAAAUAUUGAGGUUGUAUAGUGCACUUGCUUCAUUUUUGCAAGGCCCAUCUUAAAUAUUGAGGUUGUAUAGUGCACUGUAUUCUUCUUGUCAAG